CAAUUUGUCCCACACUGAUCUAAAUGAUUUUUUCUUUCCUCCAGCAGAUGUCUUUCCAGUUCACAAUUACUUCUGCAACAAAAUCCAUCAUGAUGGACGUCUGCCUCAAUAAUGGUCCGGCUGAAGCCCAUUAGCUGCCAUUAAGUAUAGACAACUCUGAGUCACACUAGCGGUCUGCUUCAUGUUAAGAGGAUUUCUAUAUUAUGAAGGAAAAGGAAGCCUGACAGAUACCUUUAUGCAUACAUAAGAAAGCUUGGUGUUAUCUGCAAAUGUUAUGAGUUCCACUUCUAACCCUCAUCAAAGAUCAUUUAUGAAGAUGUUGCAGAGCAUUGGACUCAAGACAGAAUUUUGAGCACGUACAUAGAGUCCUGGAAAUUUUGGUCUGCCACAGCCAACACCAGAACUGGUGAUUCCUAUUAAAUAAUAUUUGUUUGCAUCUGGGAAAUAGCACACCAGAGGACCACCACUGUCUCCCUACAAUAUGAAAAAUAAAGAUAAGACAAGUUAAGUGUUGCUUUAUUGCUAUGUUGAAGAUUCGGCAUAUAAUCCUAUUUGUCUGAGUUAUACUUGCCAUGACAUAUGAAAUGAAAAUAUUGAUCAUUUGGAAAUCUGAAUAUCCUGAAGGGGAAAUAUUUGCUUUUGUUGGACCACAAGAUUUAAAAUUAAAUUACUUUAAAUAUACAUACAUUGAUAUUUUGAUUGGGUAAAUUGCAGAUUAUUUAUUGAUAAAAUGCAUUUCAUUUAUAAGAUCAAGGCAGAAUACAUAGCAGUCUCUCCUAUUUUUCCCAUGACAGCCUUCUGAAGUAGAUUUUACAAAUACUGAGUAGAAUAAAAUGGCCCAGUGAGUUUCCAUGGUUGAAGGCAAUCUGGAACUUGGGUCUCCCUAGUG